rnacentral:rRNA from 1 species
UACGUAGGGUGCGAGCGUUAAUCGGAAUUACUGGGCGUAAAGCGUGCGCAGGCGGUUCGUUAUGUCCGAUGUGAAAGCCCCGAGCUUAACUUGGGAAUGGCAUUGGAAACUGGCGGGCUGGAGUGCGGCAGAGGGGGGUGGAAUUCCACGUGUAGCAGUGAAAUGCGUAGAGAUGUGGAGGAACACCGAUGGCGAAGGCAGCUCGCUGGGACGGUACUGACGCUGAGACGCGAAAGCGUGGGGAGCAAACAGG